GCAGUGGCUGUUCCUAUGCCACUAACACGACUAAGGCUCAUCACGGAUUUGGUUGGGUUGGAGAAUGGGCAAACACAGGUGCUGAGGUGAAUCGGAAACUGGCUGGCCAGACCGGUUGCUCAGGAUUGAGACACUACACCAUGCGGAUAAGGAUAAAACGGAAGGAUAUAUUCUCGAACUGGUUGUAUGGCUUCACUAUCUCGUUACACAAGUGAGGGCUAGCAAUGGUGGAAUUC